AAGACGUUCCGUGGUGAUUUGGCCGGCCGGCUUGCAGCCACGUUAAACAACUCGCUAAAAGGCCGAGUGGGCAUCCGU
rnacentral:ncRNA from 2 species